GGCGACUAGUUUUCAGUUCUCCUUUGGACGUCCUGCCCGGUCGCGGCGCGAUGCCUCUCGAUCCGCGGGUGGCCGUGGGGGACACGGGCAAUCAGGACAUCCUGGUCAUCUUCCACCGCCUGCGCAUGUUGCUUAGCAACCAGGUAGCGGCCGCCUGGCGAGCCCGGGACCCCUCGGCGGACGUGGGAGGAGGAGCCGCCCGGUUCGCCAACGGUCGAAUCCGCCCGCGUGGGUUCUGAGUGACUUCCCCGGCUGUUCGCCCACGCCGGUGAGUGAUGGCUCCGUAGAUGUCCGGUGUGUUUUGACUGCAGUGCCAAAAAUCACAGCUGGGCAAGCAUAACCUACAGGAUGUUUCUGUUCGUCAGUUGCUUGGGGUCACGUCGUGUUCAUUAGAGUUUUAUCUGUAUGCUGAUGACUCCAUGAAGUUAAGAGACAGUUCCUUUUGUAGCUGGAAGAACGGUGUGGAUUCUUCCUGGAAGAAGGAAAGCAGUGAAGAUACCUAGACCUCUGAAAAAGCACAGGCUCUUCAGACAAAUGUGAGCUGCAGGAAGCCAGAACUACAGACUAAAGUGCCUCUACACCCUCCUUUCCAGAACUUACUUCCCCUCCAGAGUGGCUAGCAGAUCAUCAUCAGUGUGCAGAGAGACAGGUAGGGCCAGGACAUAAGUGGGCCAGCCUUGCCAGUCUGCUGCUGGCUCGGCUACAGCCAGGCAGGGCUGGGCAGGAACCAUCAGGAGCUUUGAUGCUCUGCUCCAGUUCUAGGUAAAUGGUGUUACAGCUAAAUCAGAGACAGAAAGACAGCUCUACAAAAGGCAGAGGCCAGCCACCGUUCCCUGUAGCCUGCAUGACAGUCUCUGUAGCCUGCAUGAAUCGGUUUCCCAGACAUAGAGGAGGAACACCAUUCCCCGACCAUCUCAUGUACAGAUGCAGACCCCAUCCUCUGGAACCUGGGACCCAGCAACAAGGAAGUUUCCCAGCAAGCCAAGGUGGCACACUGAGGUCACGCUGUGCUGUGUGGGUGCAGCUGUGCAGUCCUACCAAGUCAGGUCAUGUUGACGAAGAAGCCAUUUGAGAAGAGGUCCAGAGUGCCCCCUCCUCCAUUCCUCUCAGGAGAGCUGGAGGUUUCCUUCCCCCUGUGAAAGGCACCAUGGGAGGAGGGCAGAACUGCAGGACCCAGCCCAGCCUUCUGGGGCCAAAAACAUGGGUCUUGGCUGGACCUGAUAUUUCACUUAUCCGUCGAGAUGGUUCUUUUUCUGAGUCUCAGUUUCCUUCUCUCCUGAGUGGAGGCAAUACUUCUUCUCUCUAAGGACUGAACUGUGUCCUAACCUGGAAAUGUGACCUUUGCACAACAUGGUCUUUUAGAGUGAACAACUUAAAAUGGGUUCAAUAAAGUGGCCCCAAUGCACCGGGGCUGCUGUCUUUAUAGAGAAGGAGAAAUCUGCACUAGACACUCAGGGAAAGAUGGCCAGGGGACAGGAGAGAAGUGGUCAGAUGUCCAGGAAGCUGAGGACUCUGGCAGGCCCCACACGCUGGGAGAGCAGAAGGGACCUGCCUGGAGUUUUUAGGGGGAGCGUGGCCACACCUUGGUUCAUGACUUCUGUCUUCUAGAACUGAGCAUGAGCUUCCCUUGUCUGACACUCAGCUUCUGUUACAGCAGCCUCAGGAGCAACUACACCAUGUACCACCGCUACCGCCCCAGGUGACUUCUUAGAACGUAGAGACAAGCCGUGCUGAUUCUGGCCUUUGUCACAUGCCAAGCACAAACAUAGUGGAAGGUGCCUCACACACAGAGGAGCAGGACACAGGCCCGUGCCUGUCCCUGUCCCCUAACAGCUGUGCAGCACCUCAGUUUCCUCAUCAGCACGAUGAUGUGGGAAAUGCUACCCACUUUCCACGCUGUCACAAAGAUAAAAUGAAUGACAGCAAGCAGCUGUAUAAUGACUGCUUUGUACCUUUUAGAAGGGACAAAGGGGAUGCCAUUUUCUACUGACAACAAGCUUUGACCUGACAAUCAUUUCUCAAUGGUUCUGCUAGACGAAUGAAGGAAGUAGAUUUCUAUCUCUGUCCCCAGUCAUCUGGGUCUCUCCUGAUGCAGACACACUGUGUCACAAGUCAAAGUGGAGUGUCUCACCAUUCUGGCCUCCCCAGGACCUACAUCCACCAAGAUGUCAAUGGUUAAACUGGCAGCAGGCAAGAGAAGGCUUCUUAAAGGCUUCUACAAGGGGCAGUCCUGGAGGUAGGGAUCAUAAAGCCUGGGCAAUGCUGCAUCAGCCCAUUUGAUUUUCUAGAAUGCCAGGUCUGGCAGGUCCUAGCUGUGGCACCAGAACAGACAGUUCCAGAUCCAUUUAGAGCUGUCAGCAUUAAGCCCAUGAUGCCUACCCUGCUCAAGCCUCCAUGGCUAUGCUGUAUGCUGGCUAAAACAGGCCUCUGGGCAUCCAGAAUGUGAUUUGAAAAACUCGGAAGAAGCACGGUGCUUGUCUUCAAAUUGCACUACUUGGAUGUGGUCUAAUCAAGCUCUUUCUGGGACUUUCUGGGACUUCAUGAUAGAGGUUUGUUUCCAUCCCAUCUCUGUUCACCUCACAGGUCCUGUCACUUCUCAGGUCUCCCAAUGUUCCAAAUAUGGGAGCAGGAGUUACAGAGCCUAACAUUCUCCAAGUUCAAUCCAGUCCAUGUGAUUCUCCGUGUCAAGUCACUCUCUGUGUAACUGUUCUACCUCUCACUGGAGCAAGACCCAAACAGGUAGACAUAGGUGAGAGGUAGUCACCCUGGCACUCGGUGUAUUGGAUCCCAAGCAUACAUCUAUGUUGGUGUGAGCACAUAGCUGCCUUCCUUGUUCAUUACAUGCCUGUGUUCAUUUUGUCAGUAGAGAGGGCUGUGCUAUGCAGAUGCUAGAUCUGGCCCCAGCAGCUAUGGCAUGUGAGGUAUGUUAGAGACAAGGUCAUUGUCUUAAAUGACAAAUGGGCCUGGA